AAAGUGACUUUAAAACACAGAAUUUUUUGCGACGGCGUGUAUACCGUCGCAAAAAGUCGGCUUUUGUGACGGCAUUCAAAGCCGUCUCAAAUAAAUGUAUCUGCGACGGUAAUCGCCCCGUCGCUAAUAAGCAGACAAGAAAAAGUGCCUUAAACAUGGAAGUAUUUGCGACGCAUUGUGUGCCGUCGCCAAAAAAAAUUCUUUUGAGACGGGUGGAAAUUACCGUCGCAAAUAGUGGGCAUUUGUGACGGCAAUUGACUAUCGCAAAAGAACCUUAUUAAAACGGCAUCGUUUUAAUAGUUGGAUUUUAUCAGUUGCGACCGUUAUUCUAUACCGUCGCAAAAGGUAAUGAAUUUUCAACUCCCUCCUUUCGCCCAAAUUGGCGGUCGAUCAAAACCCCAAAAAUUUCAUCCCCAAAUCCCUAACACAUUCUCCCUCACAAUCACAGAGACUUCAAGUUCCCAAUCUCAGAGACGAUUUCGAGUUCAUGUUCACCGACGAUCACAGAAAUUUCGAGUUCCCAAUCACAGAGAUUUCGAUUGUUCACCGACGAUGAUCUCUCUGUCGACGAGCGACGACGGCUAGCGGUGGUGCGGCGACGGCGUAGUACGACCCCUCUCUCUCACGUGACCUCAACCUUGUGUUCUCUUAAUCGAUUGAUCCUCAAUCUCUCACUUUCGGCGUGAAUCAGCCUCCGGCAUAAAGAAGACACUGGCAUGAAUCACUCUCUGGCGUCUCAGCUCUUCAGUGUCGAUCUUCUCUUCGGCGCUGAUCUCCUUGAAAAACAUGUCAUAUGAUCUAAGUGUUGGGAGCUAAGGAUGGAAACAUUUCUGUUGCUUCUGCAUUUGCUGGUUACCAUGAAGG